CAUUGCUACAGAAUGCAAACAAGUGCAUCUUCUUCCUAAUGGCAUCACUGUAGAGAUGCAAAAGAGAAACACCAAAUUCUAAGAUUUACUGCAGGAAUGUUCCUUAUGCUAGAUUAUGAAGACAAGCCAUAUGUGAGAAGAGACAGUUCGUAAAAGUAUUUAAAGCUAAAUUCAGAGUUUCUACUUCACUUUGUAAAAGCAGCUGUAAACCUGGUAAACAGGCAGAUGUAAGGGCCACUGAAAGUCUCUAGAACAGUGUGUCAAAGCAAAUGGAGCUGGGAACUUACAGUAGACCUGGCAAAAGGGGAUGGCAGUAUGGAAUAAACUGAAGGAAGGAUUGUUCAUGACAGAUCGAAGGUAAGAGCAUACCUCUACC